GGGGGUAUAUCUCAGUGUUAGAGUGCAUGCUUAGCAUGCUCCAGCUCCUAGGUUCAAUCCCCAGUACCUCCA
rnacentral:tRNA from 1 species